AUACUUCCUCACCCAGCACGGUCACUGAGCUGGCAAGCUAAAGUUAGCUAGUGAGUCACAGAAAUGUACGUUCAGUCUGUUAAUUAUUUCAGUCCGAUUGGACUUAUCCUACUCAAAUCAACAUGGCUCAACAUAGUUUUUUCGUUUUUUGACCUCGACAUUCUUGCUGGAUAGAUACUUUGAUAGCUAACAUGUGGGCUAAUCUCCUGUGGAUGCCUCCAUCUAGUUCCCUAGAGCAGCAGACCGGCCCUCCAUUCCCAAACCUGAAGCCCCCUGUCCCCAGCAGGAAAUACCAAGAAAAACUUCCUAUUGAGGAAAUAUCUGUCAACCAGGCUCGUGGGUGACAGGUAACCGUGUUUCCACAAUGAUGUUCCAGACCUGGAGUGGCACGCUGGAACUUCCAGAGGCUUGUAGACCUGAAGUAGUGUGAGAUCUGACACCCUUACUUCUCACAGCUGCAGUCGUCUGCUCCUGCACCUGCUACACCAGCCACGACAGGUGAUUCAGGUAAUUAUCACAUGCUUGUAUACACACAGGCAUACUCUUCCUCACUUUGGGCUCUAUUCAAUCACAUCCACUUUAGCCGACAUCCGCAUAGCAGUUGUUUUGGCGGUGUCUGAGAUGAAACUGUGUUAGAGCUGUCAAAUUCACCAGCGGCUCCUGGCAUUAUACCUAAAGCGGACAUUGCCGUUGGCUGCACAGAGUCGUAAUAACAGAAAUCUCAUGCAGCCCUGUUUACAAGUUAGACCACUGGAAUUUGAGAUGUAAUCUACACCUCAUUUCGGCUGAUAGAAAUCCUCAUUAUUUAGUUGAAUGAUUUAGAAUUUGAGCAUCAUUAUUUCUCUAUAACCUGCACUUUCUCAUUCUGAACUUGUAACGCGAGUAGGACGGAUGUAGCUUCGUGCCAGUGAUCAACAGCAGCUUCUUCCUGAUUUGACAGAUCCUACUCAGUUACGCCUCAGACACCGCCAAAACAUCAGCAAUGCGUGUGUCGGCUAUCGCCGGUUAAUGCUUAAUCUGAUUGAAUCUAGGCCUUACACUCAUUCAGUCUGUUUAGUUGUAUGAUUAUUGUCAGUUAAGAAAAUGAUGCCUCUCUUUUAGAUCUGCCACCCCCAGCAGUCCUCUGCUGUGGUAUUGAAUUUACUGGCUACACCGGUUCCUACUACAUUGGCCGUGAAGGGAGAAUCUUUUGAGGAUUCCCAGAUGGAUACAGGUCAUUUAGAAUGAUAUUACAUACACAUACGCUCACUCACACCAACAGAUGUGCACACAAACAUGUUGAACUGUAUACUUACUGUCACGUUGUGCAUCUCUCUUUCAGAUCUGCCAUGCACUCCACCACGACCCCAGACAGCCUCACCCAGAAGUGCAUGCACCGGGCCUAUCACAAAGCAGAGAUGGGUGGCUGACAAGGAAAAAUAAAACACAACAUGCACACACACUCUCUCUCUCUGUUACACACACAUUAUCCCCAAUGUAAAUCAAUUGUAAUUAUUUUAUUUUAGGAUUGGAGAUAUCUUACGCCUACAUAUCCAUUAUCAAUAGCUACAUAAUUACUCUAUACAAUCAAAGUGUGAUUGAUAAUAUUGUAAGAGAAUUGCUUAAUUGGUAGUUUGAGGAAAUUCUGUGUGCUUUUUUUCUGAGUUGAAAAACAUGCCUCCCUCUCUCUCUCACUCACACACACCCAAUGUAAAGACAUUGUUUAUUUUAUGUAUGUUCUAUUUUAUUUGAGGAUUGUGUGCAAUAAAGUACAUUCACAGUUAAA